UGGGGAAUAUUGGACAAUGGGCGAAAGCCUGACGCAGCGACGCCGCGUGGGUGAUGAAGGCCUUCGGGUUGUAAAGCCCUGUGGGGAGAGACGAAUAAGUCGGAUCUAAUAACUCCGAUGAUGACGGUAUCUCCUUAGCAAGCACCGGCUAACUCUGUGCCAGCAGCCGCGGUAAGACAGAGGGUGCAAACGUUGUUCGGAAUUACUGGGCGUAAAGCGUGUGUAGGCGGUUACGAAAGUCGGAUGUGAAAUCCCCGGGCUCAACCCGGGAAGUGCACCCGAAACUGUGUGACUUGAGUACCGGAGAGGUUGGUGGAAUUCUCGGUGUAGAGGUGAAAUUCGUAGAUAUCGAGAGGAACACCGGUGGCGAAGGCGGCCAACUGGACGAGUACUGACGCUGAGACACGAAAGCGUGGGGAGCAAACAGGAUUAGAUACCCUGGUAGUCCACGCCGUAAACGAUGGGUGCUAGGUGUCACGGGCUUUGACUCCUGUGGUGCCGUAGCCAACGCAUUAAGCACCCCGCCUGGGAAGUACGGCCGCAAGG
rnacentral:rRNA from 1 species